ACCAAAGUUAAACAAGGUAAUAUUGAAACAUGCACAAUCAAGUCCAAGUUCCAUCACAAUAACCAAAGUUAAACAAGGUUCACCAGAGACAUAACCAAAGUUCCAGCACAAUACAUAACCAAGUCCAAGUUCAAUAACACAUAGUGACAAACUGGUAGUCCAAGUUCCAGCACUAGACAUAACCAAAGUCCAAGUUCAAGUGUUCAACAACACAAACUGAUAGUGAUAAAUGACAAUAGAUUUGCACUUGAAGUUGAAGAGCAGCCAACAGUAAGACUCCCAAUUUGCCAUCAUAAACAUGAGCAUCUUGACCAUUCCAAGUUCCAGCCAAGUGAGCCAAUCUGCCAUUUUUUGUAGAUAGUACAGAAUUCGGUUAAAAUAGAAUACUAGAUACCACACAAUACUAUUAAGCAAAUCUAGUGAUGUACAUAUGCCUAGAAUUUGGAAAACAAAGUACAUGAAGUGCAUAAAGCAACAUUUGCAUAACAGCAUUCACAUGAGGUUUAUUACAGCAACAUUUGCAUUUACAUGACAUAACAAUCUGCAAGGAAACCACAUGGUUGUGUGGUGCAUGUUUUGAAUGAUACGACAAUUGCAUUACAUCAGCAUUUGAAAAUAUCAAAGUUGGUCUACUACAGAAAAAAUAAAUGAAACCUAAAAGCAUGAACAAGAGGAAGACAAUUUCUUGCAACUCACCAAUGUUUAAGUAGAGGAUGGAGGUGGGCAAGAUUGGCUCAGCCCCAGAUGGCUUGCAAACAGACUUGCUACUACUUGCUUUCGAUUUGGAUGAAUUUGUACUACCAAACUCUUCAAUUAGUUCUGAAAAAGAAUGAAAUAAACAUGUAAUAAACAUAGGAAGUUAGAAAUAUAGAAAAUUACAUAGAAAACAAUCACAAUAUGUUACCCUUUUCCAAUCUUAACAAUUCCUCCUCAUCUUCUUCAAUGUUGACAGUAAUAGAACCCCUUAGCCAGUCUUGGGCACAAACAAGAGCUUGGACCAUGAAUGGUGUAAGGGAGGUUCUAAAUUCAUUUAGGAUGCGACCACUUGUGCUAAAUGCUGACUCAGACGCAACCGUUGAUACCGGAACAACCAACACAUCACGGGCCAUUCUUGCCAAUAUUGGGAAUCUAGCAGCGUUGUUCUUCCACCAUUUUAGAAUGUCAAAAUCAUCCCUAUUUACUUCAUUCUCUUCAUGUAGGUAUUUCUCAUAUUCAGAUUUGCUCAUGCUAGCUUCACCAUCACCAACUCUCAACUUUUUAUUUAUCCGAGACACCAAUUUCCUUCCUUCCCUUUUUUGAGUUAGUUCAGAUUGUGGAGCUCGCACAUGCUUGCUUGCAUCACUUGGUGCAUACUUAGCUUUGUACUCUUCAAACAAAGCAUGCAUAAAUGUUUUCACCGCCUCCCAUGCUUUGCCUCCAUUUAACUCACCAUACAUUUCUUCAAUUGCUAGUUUUGUGAAGUUUGAAAGCUUGAAUCUUGGAUCAAGAACAGUUGCAGCAAAUACAAACACGUUCACAUUCUCCUCUUCCUUUUUCUUUCCUUUCCCCUUCCCCCUUUCAUUCUCCACCUCCUCAUUCCAACGUCCCCAAUACUUAUCAUACUUAUCUUGCAUUUUCUUGGCCAUUGUUUUGCGCAAAAUAUCAUCACUAUCAGCCCACUCUUCCAACACAACAUUAAUUUCAGCAAUAUCCAUAACAAAUUGAUUCACUGUCACAUGGAGUGUGGCAGAAACACUAAGAGUAAGGUGAUAAAACUGUCCAAGAAAUUCAGCCAUUUUCGUAGCAUUCUCCCAAUCACUAUCAACAGGAAUACCAGGAGCUUUCUCACUAGUUAAAUCUAAUGUAUAGAGUGGAUCUUCUUUCUCAUACCUCGCAAACACUUUCUCAAAGUUGAUUGCGGUUGCUAACAUUAGGUAUGUGGAAUUCCAUCUAGUGCAUACAUCCAAACUCAAGAAUGCCUCGCCAUCCACCUUUUCUAACCGAGCAAGUUCUUUAAAUCUUGUAAUUCUAGAUGGCCCAUUUCUUAUAUAUCUAACCGCAGCUCGCACACGCUUAACUGAUUCAUCCAACUCUUUUAGACCAUCAGUAACAAUCAUAUUUAUAAUAUGGGCAGCACAUCUCAUAUGCAUAUAUUUACCUUCAGCUAUGCUAUUUCCAGUUUUGAUCAUUUUCUUCCGUAUGUAACCUACACCACCAUCAUUCGCGCUAGCAUUAUCAACAAUUAUUGUCAUAACUUUGUUUAUUCCCCACUCCAUCAAGCAUUUCUCUAAGGCUUUUCUAAUAUCAUCUCCCUUAUGACCUUUUACUAGGAAAAAGUUAAUGAUUUUCUUGUGCAAAUUCCAUUCAGGAUCAAUAAAAUGUGUUGUGACUGCCAUAUAACAAUCUUGUGUUUCAGAAGUCCAACCAUCAGUGGUGAGACACACUCUUUGACAUGAUUGUUUGAAAAAAAGUUUCAGCUUCGCUCUCUCUUCAAAAUAAACCUUCACAACAUCCCUAGUGCAUGUUCUUCUAGGAGGCAUAUUGAAACGUGGACAUGCAAUUGACAUCACUUCUCUAAAACCAGUUUUUUCAGUAAAUGCGAAUGGAAGCUCAUCUACUAUAAUCAUCUUAGCAAUAGCUUUCCUUAGUGCUUCGGGAUCAAAUUUAUGCACUGAAGGACUUUCCCCUUGGAUAACUUGCAAAGUACCUUGAUUCUUAUUCUUAUCAUUAUGAGGAUUAUACUUGCAAGUAUUAAAAUGACUGAUUAAGGCAGAGGUACCGUUAAUCUCUGGAACGGCCUUGAUAUCACGAUUGCAAUGCUUGCACCUUCCAAACUUGAGAAGACAACCAACUAGUACCUCAGAAAAGUGAUCCCACAUCCGUGAUCUUUUCUGCAUCUGCCUUCUUGUAGGUCGUUCCUCCAUCUCCUUCUUUUCCUUUUCAUACUCAUCAAUCUUUCUUUGUUCUUCCUCAUAAACUCACAUGUCCUCUUCAGUCAUGUCAUCAUCACCAAUGAUACGCAGUCCACCAGGUUCAACCAUCUAAAAAUAGUAACAUAAUUAGAAUUCAUGUGAUCAUUCUUCUAUACCAAUUACUUCGGAGAAGAAUUAAAAAAACAUAUUAAAAAUACAAGUUACCAACGAUGCAACUACUAAAAUCAGUACAUACAGUGUGAGUGCACUAAGUAGAUGGCUGAGAUGAGCUUUCCCUACAAUAUAUAUAACCAUAUGUAAAUUUCCAGCAGUAGUAAAUCUCCAGCAGUAGUAAAUUUCCAGUAAUGUAAAUUUCCCAGCUGAGUUGGUGUCAUGUCCAGAUGUUACUAAACCAGAGAGAUAGAGAACAUUCAUACAGUACAUACAAACUACAAAGACAUAGGCCUGGGCGUACAUUCAUACAGAUUACAGAAUAUUGCAGUAUUGGCCAAACUGCACUUUUUUCUCUGCAUAAAAAAAGAACCAGAGAUCUCUUCUUUUUUCUCUGCAUCCACAUCCACGUUUACCAUCUACUCACAAAGAACAAAAUAAAAUAGGAGACAAAGGAUGGGAGAUUGGGCUUAUUAC
rnacentral:lncRNA from 1 species